rnacentral:rRNA from 1 species
AGAGUUUGAUCCUGGCUCAGGAUGAACGCUAGCGGCAGGCUUAACACAUGCAAGUCGAGGGGCAGCGGGGAGUAGCAAUACUCCGCCGGCGACCGGCGAAAGGGUGCGUAACGCGUGAGCGACAUGCCCGUGACUGGGGUAUAACCGGUGGAAACGCCGACUAAUCCCCCAUAACACAGGAGGCUGCAUGGUCUCCUGUUGAAAACUCCGGUGGUCACGGAUUGGCUCGCGUCCGAUUAGCUAGUUGGCGGGGUGACGGCCCACCAAGGCGACGAUCGGUAGGGGUUCUGAGAGGAAGGUCCCCCACAAUGGAACUGAGACACGGUCCAUACUCCUACGGGAGGCAGCAGUGAGGAAUAUUGGUCAAUGGGCGGAAGCCUGAACCAGCCAUGCCGCGUGCAGGACGACGGCCCUAUGGGUUGUAAACUUCUUUUGUACGGGGGCAAUAAGGUCCACGCGUGGACCGAUGAGAGUACCGUACGAAUAAGCAUCGGCUAACUCCGUGCCAGCAGCCGCGGUAAUACGGAGGAUGCGAGCGUUAUCCGGAUUUAUUGGGUUUAAAGGGUGCGUAGGCGGCUUGCCAAGUCAGCGGUGAAAUCCGGGCGCCCAACGCCGGAACUGCCGUUGAAACUGGCGGGCUCGAAUGGUGCCGCCGCAUGCGGAAUGUGUGAAGUAGCGGUGAAAUGCAUAGAUAUCACACAGAACGCCGAUUGUGGAAACAGCAUGCGAGACACAGAUUGACGCUGAGGCACGAAGGUGCGGGGAUCGAACAGGAUUAGAUACCCUGGUAGUCCGCACAGUAAACGAUGAUGACUCGCCGCCGGCGAUACAGUGUCGGUGGUCAAGCGAAAACCAAAAAUCAUCCACCUGGGGAGUACGGCCGCAAGGCUGAAACUCAAAGAAAUAAACGGGGGACUGGCACAAGCGGAGGAACAUGUGGUUUAAUUCGAUGAUGCGCGAGGAACCAUUACCAGGGCUCGAACGGCAUGGGAAGAACCCAGAGAUAGGAACGUCCUUCGGGACUCAUGUCGAGGUGCUGCAUGGUUGUAGUCAGCUCGUGCCGUGAGGUGUCGGCUCAAGUGCCAUAACGAGCGCAACCCUUGUCGCCAGUUACCAUCAAGUGAAGUUGGGGACUCUGGCGAGACUGCCACCGCAAGGUGAGAGGAAGGAGGGGAUGACGUCAAAUCAGCACGGCCCUUACGUCCGGGGCGACACACGUGUUACAACGGUGACUACAGAGGGAAGCUACCUGGCGACAGGAUGCAGAUCUCGAAAAGUCAUCUCAGUUCGGACUGGAGUCUGCAACCCGACUCCACGAAGCUGGAUUCGCUAGUAAUCGCGCAUCAGCCAUGGCGCGGUGAAUACGUUCCCGGGCCUUGCACACACCGCCCGUCA